UACGGGGGGGGCAAGCGUUGUUCGGAAUUACUGGGCGUAAAGGGCCAGUAGGCGGCCAACUAAGUCGGAUGUGAAAUCCCCAGGCUUAACCUGGGAACUGCAUCCGAUACUGGAUGGCUUGAAUUCGGGAGAGGGAUGCAGAAUUCCAGGUGUAGCGGUGAAAUGCGUAGAUAUCUGGAGGAAUACCGGUGGCGAAGGCGGCAUCCUGGACCGACAUUGACGCUGAGGCGCGAAAGCGUGGGGAGCAAACAGG
rnacentral:rRNA from 1 species